UACGUAGGGUGCGAGCGUUAAUCGGAAUUACUGGGCGUAAAGCGUGCGCAGGCGGUUAUGUAAGUCAGAUGUGAAAUCCCCGGGCUCAACCUGGGACCUGCAUUUGUGACUGCAUCGCUAGAGUCCGGCAGAGGGGGAUGGAAUUCCGCGUGUAGCGGUGAAAUGCGUAGAUAUGCGGAGGAACACCGAUGGCGAAGGCAAUCCCCUGGGCCGGUACUGACGCUCAUGCACGAAAGCGUGGGGAGCAAACAGG
rnacentral:rRNA from 1 species